CUGCUAAUACGCUGCGUAUUGACCUAUACGCAGCGUAUACUGACACUUCGUAUACGCUGCGUAUUGGUCAAUACGCAGCGUAUAAAGCCUUCUGAACUUUAAAUUCACACAGAACCUGUUAUAUUCCAGAGACACUCGUUAGGCCUGUACGCAGUUACUACAUAUAAGACAGACUUAGUUUCGACGCUCGUUAGGCCCGUACGCGCCUUACGGACGACGUCGACUAAAUAAUAUUUUUUUUAUUAUUUAGUCUACGUCGUCCGUAAGGCGCGUACGGGCCUAACGGGCGUCGAAACUUUUAACGACGGACUUAGUUUCGACGCCCGUUAGGCCCGUACGCGCCUUACGUACGACGUCGACUAAAUAAUAUUUUUUUUCUUAUUUAGUCGUCGUCCGUAAGGCGCGUACGGGCCUAACGGGCGUCGAAACUAAGCCCGUCGUUAAAAUUUUAACGACGGGCUUAGUUUCGACGCUCGUUAGGCCCGUACGCGCCUUACGGACGACGUCGACUAAAUAAUAUUUUUUUUAUUAUUUAGUAGACGUCAUCCGUAAGGCGCGUACGGGCCUAAAGGGCAAUGACGGACUUAGUUUCGACGCUCGUUAGGCCCGUACGCGCCUUACGGACGACGUCGACUAAAUAAUAUUUUUUUUAUUAUUUAGUCGACGUCGUCCGUAAGUCGCGUACGGGCCUAACGAGCGUCGAAACUAAGCCCGUCGACGGGCUUAGUUUCGACGCUCGUUAGGCCCGUACGCGCCUUACGGACGACGUCGACUAAAUAAUAUUUUUUUUAUUAUUUAGUCGACGUCAUCCGUAAGGCGCGUACGGGCCUAACGGGCAACGACGGACUUAGUUUCGACGCUCGUUAGGCCCGUACGCGCCUUACGGACGACGUCGACUAAAUAAUAUUUUUUUUAUUAUUUAGUCGACGUCAUCCGUAAGGCGCGUACGGGCCUAACGGGCAACGACGGACUUAGUUUCGACGCUCGUUAGGCCCGUACGCGCCUUACGGACGACGUCGACUAAAUAAUAUUUUUUUUAUUAUUUAGUCGACGUCGUCCGUAAGGCGCGUACGGGCCUAACGGGCAACGACGGACCUAGUUUCGACGCUCGUUAGGCCCGUACGCGCCUUACGGACGACGUCGACU
rnacentral:lncRNA from 1 species